AGUGAACGCUGGCGGUAGGCCUAACACAUGCAAGUCGAACGGCAGCACAGUAAGAGCUUGCUCUUACGGGUGGCGAGUGGCGGACGGGUGAGGAAUACAUCGGCAUCUACUUUUUCGUGGGGGAUAACGUAGGGAAACUUACGCUAAUACCGCAUACGACCUACGGGUGAAAGCAGGGGAUCUUCGGACCUUGCGCGACUGAAUGAGCCGAUGUCGUAUUAGCUAGUUGGCGGGGUAAAGGCCCACCAAGGCGACGAUCCGUAGCUGGUCUGAGAGGAUGAGCAGCCACACAGGAACUGAGACACGGUCCAGACUCCGACGGGAGGCAGCAGUGGGGAAUAUUGGGCAAUGGGCGCAAGCCUGAUCCAGCCAUACCGCGUGGGUGAAGAAGGCCUUCGGGUUGUAAAGCCCUUUUGUUGGGAAAGAAAAGCAGCAGGUUAAGACCCCGCUGUUCUGACGGUACCCAAAGAAUAAGCACCGGCUAACUUCGU
rnacentral:rRNA from 1 species